AGUGAACGCUGGCGGUAGGCCUAACACAUGCAAGUCGAACGGCCGCACAGUAAGAGCUUGCUCUUACGGGUGGCGAGUGGCGGACGGGUGACGAAUACAUCGGAAUCUACUUUUUCUUGGGUGAUUACGUAGGGAAACUUACGCUAAUACCGCAUACGUCCUACGGGUGAAAGCAGGGGAUCUUCGGACCUUGCGCGAUUGAAUGAGCCGAUGUCGGAUUAGCUAGUUGGCGUGGUAAAGGCCCACCAAGGCGACGAUCCGUAGCUGGUCUGUGAGGAUGAUCAGGCACACGGGAAGGGAGAAACGGUCCAGACUCCUACGGGAGGGAGGAGUGGGGAAGAUUGGACAAUGGGCGCAAGCCUGAUCCAGCCAUACCGAGUGGGGGAAGAAGGCCUUCGGGUUGUAAAGCCCUUUUGUUGGGAAAGAAAAGCAGCAGGUUAAUACCCCGCUGUUCUGACGGUACCCAAAGAAAAAGCACCGGCUAACUUCGUG
rnacentral:rRNA from 1 species